CUGGGAACAAGGGCAAAAAGCCACCAAUACAGUCAAGAGGACACAUAGAUGGUACAAUCCAAAAGAGGUCCCCAUCUCCAUAUUCCUGGAGGAUCCGUUGAUUUAAUUUGGACUUUUUUUGGCCUCUCUUGAGAUAAAAUAAGUAGUUCAGAGAAGAAUGAAAAGUGUGAGUUUGAUGUUCUUCUCUGCAAUCAUUUCUGGAUUGGAUCAUGAAAGAGACAAGCAGAGUUUGGAGACCCAAAGAUGUCUGAGAUGGACUGCUGGACUGCUGCUUGCCAAGAGCUGGAGAAGAU